rnacentral:sRNA from 1 species
AAUGACGAGAGCGGUGACGGCGCAGCACCGCAGGCCUCGUGCCGCCGGUCUCUGAAGCGGGAUGAGCAUGGUCAGAGCAUCGAACGGCUG